AGCUAGUUGGCGGGGUAACGGCCCACCAAGGCAACGAUCAGUAGCCGACCUGAGAGGGCGACCGGCCACAUUGGGACUGAGACACGGCCCAAACUCCUACGGGAGGCAGCAGUGGGGAAUAUUGCACAAUGGGGGAAACCCUGAUGCAGCGACGCCGCGUGAGCGAUGAAGUAUUUCGGUAUGUAAAGCUCUAUCAGCAGGGAAGAAGAUGACGGUACCUGACUAAGAAGCCCCGGCUAACUACGUGCCAGCAGCCGCGGUAAUACGUAGGGGGCAAGCGUUAUCCGGAUUUACUGGGUGUAAAGGGAGCGUAGACGGCGGUGCAAGCCAGAUGUGAAAGCCCGGGGCUCAACCCCGGGACUGCAUUUGGAACUGUAUGGCUGGAGUGUCGGAGAGGCAGGCGGAAUUCCUAGUGUAGCGGUGAAAUGCGUAGAUAUUAGGAGGAACACCAGUGGCGAAGGCGGCCUGCUGGACGAUGACUGACGUUGAGGCUCGAAAGCGUGGGGAGCAAACAGGAUUAGAUACCCUGGUAGUCCACGCCGUAAACGAUGACUACUAGGUGUCGGGCAGCAAAGCUGUUCG
rnacentral:rRNA from 1 species